rnacentral:rRNA from 1 species
UACGUAGGGUGCGAGCGUUAAUCGGAAUUACUGGGCGUAAAGGGUGCGCAGGCGGUCUCGUAAGCUGGGUGUGAAAGCCCCGGGCUUAACCUGGGAAUGGCAUUCAGGACUGCGAGGCUUUGAGUGUGGCAGAGGGAGGUGGAAUUCCACGUGUAGCAGUGAAAUGCGUAGAGAUGUGGAGGAACACCGAUGGCGAAGGCGAGUCCCUGGACAACUCCGUGACACUGAGGCACGAAAGCUAGGGGAGCAAACGGG